UUCUAGGCAGGCUUUGCUAUUUUGGCUGUCAGAGCUAGAUGGAUAUUUCACCCUAUAGAACGAUUAGUGUUCCCACUUCUUUGCAUUUGUAACGUUUGCCUCCUUGUUGUCACAGGCAUUUUCAACAAUAUUUGGUCUAUCAAGUUAAGAAAAUCCGGUUACAGGUACUAGGAUGGUGGUCAACUAUCAGAUCAACAGAUGGCGUUACUUCAAUAUCAGCAAGAAAAUAUAUACUUUUUGAGUGAGGAGAUUCUUAAACUGCAAGAAACCUUAAGCAAAUACGAAAGGUCUAAUGAUGGGAGUGCACCUCAGCUACCGCUAGGGAAAAAAAAUUCAACAACAAUAAUAACAACAACAUACCCAGUGUAGGCCCACAAGUGAGGUGUGGGGAGGGCUAUUGUGAAUACAGAUCUUUUCCCUAUCCACGGAUGAGCUGCUGCAACAAAAAAUGGAGGAAAUAGAAGAGAGGAUGAAACAAAGAAAGCUAGAAAAAUUUGAGGAACAUAAGGGUACAAUGCAACAACAAAUUGCAAUUAACAUCAUAGCAAGACUUCAACGCCUUAACCCUGAUCUACAACUUAACCCUGACCUGCUUGCAUUUUGUGCUCGUUCUUGUUCAUCAGAACAAACUGAAGGUGGAGAAAAUGAAGCAGCGAAUGAGGAGAACAUUGAAGAACGUUAAGAAGAUUUUUUAUGUCGUAAAAUUGAAACUUAUGCCGAUAUUUUUUAAAUCGGCAGCACAUUGAAACUUAUGUCGUAAUUUACUAUUUUCUAGUUUUAUGGAUAUUAACUACUAUGGCUAGCUUAAAUUUUGGAUAUAUGAUUUUAAUGAUGAACAUUGAUAACGUACUGUUUUGUAAUUCUAUAGCUUUUAUUUAUGUAUUUGAGUUUAUUGG